GAGGGUAUACCUCAGUGGUAGAGUGCAUGCUUAGCAUGUAUAAGGCCCUGGGUUCAAUCCCCAUUGCUUCCA
rnacentral:tRNA from 1 species